rnacentral:rRNA from 1 species
GACGAACGCUGGCGGCGUGCUUAACACAUGCAAGUCGAACGGAAAGGCCCUGGUUUUGCGGGGUGCUCGAGUGGCGAACGGGUGAGUAACCCGUGAGUGAGCUGCCCUUGACUUUGGGAUAACUUCAGGAAAAUGGGGCUAAUCCCGGAUAUGAGAUCCUGCUGCAUGGUGGGGGUUGGCACGUUUCGGCGGUUGGGGAUGGUUACGGGGCUUAUCAGCUUGUUGGUGGGGUAGUGGAUUACCAGGGCUUGGACGGGUAGCCGGGCUGAGAGGAUGAGCGGCCACGCUGGGACUGGACUGCGACCCGGCCUGGUACCGGAGGGAACGGUGGGGUAGGGUGCACUGUGCGCGGAGGCCAAGUGUGAUCACGCCGCGUGGGGUAGGUGAGGCUGGUGGUUGGAAACUGCUGUCGCCUGGGACGAGGCGUUAGUGACGGUAAUCGGUAAAGAAGCACCGGCUAACUACGUG